rnacentral:tRNA from 11 species
GUAGUACAACGGUAGUAUCCCUGUCUGUCACGCAGGAGAUUCGGGUUCAAUUCCCGGCUA